rnacentral:rRNA from 3 species
CAGUCGACGAACUCUGGUAUUGAUUGGUGCUUGCAUCAUGAUUUACAUUUGAGUGAGUGGCGAACUGGUGAGUAACACGUGGGAAACCUGCCCAGAAGCGGGGGAUAACACCUGGAAACAGAUGCUAAUACCGCAUAACAACUUGGACCGCAUGGUCCGAGUUUGAAAGAUGGCUUCGGCUAUCACUUUUGGAUGGUCCCGCGGCGUAUUAGCUAGAUGGUGGGGUAACGGCUCACCAUGGCAAUGAUACGUAGCCGACCUGAGAGGGUAAUCGGCCACAUUGGGACUGAGACACGGCCCAAACUCCUACGGGAGGCAGCAGUAGGGAAUCUUCCACAAUGGACGAAAGUCUGAUGGAGCAACGCCGCGUGAGUGAAGAAGGGUUUCGGCUCGUAAAACUCUGUUGUUAAAGAAGAACAUAUCUGAGAGUAACUGUUCAGGUAUUGACGGUAUUUAACCAGAAAGCCACGGCUAACUACGUGCCAGCAGCCGCGGUAAUACGUAGGUGGCAAGCGUUGUCCGGAUUUAUUGGGCGUAAAGCGAGCGCAGGCGGUUUUUUAAGUCUGAUGUGAAAGCCUUCGGCUCAACCGAAGAAGUGCAUCGGAAACUGGGAAACUUGAGUGCAGAAGAGGACAGUGGAACUCCAUGUGUAGCGGUGAAAUGCGUAGAUAUAUGGAAGAACACCAGUGGCGAAGGCGGCUGUCUGGUCUGUAACUGACGCUGAGGCUCGAAAGUAUGGGUAGCAAACAGGAUUAGAUACCCUGGUAGUCCAUACCGUAAACGAUGAAUGCUAAGUGUUGGAGGGUUUCCGCCCUUCAGUGCUGCAGCUAACGCAUUAAGCAUUCCGCCUGGGGAGUACGGCCGCAAGGCUGAAACUCAAAGGAAUUGACGGGGGCCCGCACAAGCGGUGGAGCAUGUGGUUUAAUUCGAAGCUACGCGAAGAACCUUACCAGGUCUUGACAUACUAUGCAAAUCUAAGAGAUUAGACGUUCCCUUCGGGGACAUGGAUACAGGUGGUGCAUGGUUGUCGUCAGCUCGUGUCGUGAGAUGUUGGGUUAAGUCCCGCAACGAGCGCAACCCUUAUUAUCAGUUGCCAGCAUUAAGUUGGGCACUCUGGUGAGACUGCCGGUGACAAACCGGAGGAAGGUGGGGAUGACGUCAAAUCAUCAUGCCCCUUAUGACCUGGGCUACACACGUGCUACAAUGGAUGGUACAACGAGUUGCGAACUCGCGAGAGUAAGCUAAUCUCUUAAAGCCAUUCUCAGUUCGGAUUGUAGGCUGCAACUCGCCUACAUGAAGUCGGAAUCGCUAGUAAUCGCGGAUCAGCAUGCCGCGGUGAAUACGUUCCCGGGCCUUGUACACACCGCCCGUCACACCAUGAGAGUUUGUAACACCCAAAGUCGGUGGG